AUUGAACGCUGGCGGCAUGCCUUACACAUGCAAGUCGAACGGCAGCACGGGUGCUUGCACCUGGUGGCGAGUGGCGAACGGGUGAGUAAUACAUCGGAACGUACCUUAUCGUGGGGGAUAACGCAGCGAAAGCUGUGCUAAUACCGCAUACGCCCUGAGGGGGAAAGCGGGGGAUCGAAAGACCUCGCGCGAUUAGAGCGGCCGAUGCCUGAUUAGCUUGUUGGUGGGUGAAAAGCCCACCAAGGCGACGAUCAGUAGCUGGUCUGAGAGGACGAUCAGCCACACUGGGACGGAGACACGGCCCAGACUCCUACGGGAGGCAGGAGUGGGGCAUGUUGGACAAUGGGGGCAACCCUGAUCCAGCAAUGCCGCGUGAGUGAAGAAGGCCUUCGGGGUGUAAAGCUCUUUUGUCGGGGAAGAAACACCGGCUCUAACACAGUCCGGGAAUGACGGUACCUGAAGAAUAAGCACCGGCUAACUACGUGCCAGCCGCCGCGGUAA
rnacentral:rRNA from 1 species